CACCAGAGUCUUGCAUCACCUCAGUUCAACGUCUGAUGAAAUAUCCAGCAAUCUGAUAGAAAGUGACAUUAUGAAGCAGAAAACUCAAUAGUAUGGCAACAUUACCUGUGCGGUUCGCAGCAGCUCGGUUGCUCUCCCCCGAACCUCCUGCAGUGGACACGACCGGGACAGCCGAAGCAGAUGUAGGAGUGUUUGUUUACUCAGCUGUGCCGAACCGGGCCGGUCCAGUUCUAAACACACCAGAACCCCUCGGCUGAGCUCCUCCAGAGCCGCUGCUCGCUCCUCUUCGUCUCUGCUGCACAGCCGUGCUAAGCUUUUGUCAGUCGGGCCAACAUCGGACUCUGACUCGGACCGGUGGCGACGUGAGCGGCCAGAACUGGACCCUCGUCCUGGUGUGCUUUCUCCGUUAGCAUGGCAGGUAAAGCCUGCCGCAAGAUUACUGGCCAUCUCUUGUACUGGUCCCGAAGCACAUCGGAGUGACUCCUGAAGUACCUGGGUUGAGCUACCUAACGUCCCCGCUAGCUACUGUUAGCAGAAGUAUUGGCCUAACCUUAAACGUUCGCUUGAUGCAAACGUUGGUUUUCUUAAGUGCCGGAUACAGGAGGUGUCAGUUUCUUGUGUUCCACCAAUUAUGAACGCAGACGGACCACCUUCAAAGGUCUCUCAUACAUACCCGGCUGCCUGACAGUAAAAACGGUCUACCGGUUAUUGUUGUUGGUUCGCUAAGCUAGUUUCGUUCAGCUCUCCUGAGUCCGGAGUUUUUUUUUUCCCUCUUAUGCAACGUCAUUGUGACGUGACUGAAAAUGUUCACUAAUGAAAAAUAUCUAUUUCUGCACCAUUCAACUAACCUUUUACUUAUUUAUGUAUUAUGAGGAGUGUGCUGGUUUCUGGCAUACACUUCUAUAAUUUGUUGCGGAUUUAACUGGUUUUAUUUAGCUUUUUUGUGAAGUGUGGCCUUCUGCAUUUAAAUGCUUGAGUUAAAUGUUACUAAAUGCUAUGCUAAAACUAAUAUAUUACUAAUAGUAAAUAAUAAAUACAAUAAUGAAAAUAUAUAAAACCUGUUUGCAGUUUUCAAAAAAAAUACUAGUUUAUAUGACUACUACUACUAUAAGUUUACUGUAGCAAAGGUAGUAUUGCACAUUAAUCUUUUAAUUGAUCAAUUAUUAUGUAGUCUAUAAAAUGUCAACACUAAUGAAAAAUGCCCAUCAUACUUACCAGAGCCUAAGGCAAUGUCUUAAAUUGACAAAUUUACUGUUUACAUUACUUCCAUGGCUGCACUCUAAUGCAGGAAUAAACCUUUUCUUGACAGGGAACCCCAAAAAUUCACACUAGAGUAUGGAUCCUUCUUUGUUUGGUCCUGAUCACUGCCAUCUAGGAUGAAUUUUACUACUUCAAAGACCCUAUGCAGAAUUACUUUAAAGUUUUGGAGAUCUUUGGGUUCACCAUUUUACUGGAAAUACCUGUUAAGCCCUUGUGGUCCUUGGAGCCCACAUUUUGGAGCCAUUGGAAUAUUCUGUUAAAUUGUUAUAUUAUUUAUAUUUAAUUAACUAAAACUGUGUAAAAGUGA